CCGCCCCCUCCGUCUCUCACCUGAUUGGCUGCGAGUCGAACCUCCCGGCGGUGAUUGGCUCCCCCCGCGAGUGGAACCCAUUCAAGAGUAUUGCCCCAGCCACUGCAGGUGUGGUGCCCAGGGAACCAGGGACCAUCGGCCCCACGCAGCCAGAAGAGCCAGCAGCAGGCCGCAGACAGACAAGGCACGGGAGAAGCAGGGGACAGCCAGUCCGCAAGCCAGAGAGAGACCAUACCCCACACGGGCAGAAAGGCGGGACGCCCCUGCCCAGUGGGUUAGAGGUGGCCUAGAGACUCCCCGCAACCGGACAGGAAGACCGCCUCCGCCCCACCAGCAACCAAGCCCCCACGAGCCCACCCCCCCAAACCUGGAAGGGACCGUCCAGCACGGGGCCACGGGAACCACCCACCCCACCCGCAGGAUGUGUGUGUGUGUUCUUAAAUUUCUACCCUUUUUGAGACAUCAACUAGGAAAAGUAGCCUUCAUAUGAGGAGGUGUGAACAAGUUAGGACAUAAACCAUGGUACCAAUACGGAAAACCAUUGCAUGUAAUAGACAAUGUCUCAUUUGCACCCCCUGCUGGUGAAAUCUAUCAAAAUUAGGGUGGUCCCAAAAAGGAGGGAUUUUUCAAAUUGACUGUGUGUCGGUUUUAAAAGUGUUCCCCCUCUGGUCAACAUAUGAAAUAACAAGUGUGUGUAAAAAUGUGAAGUGAAGUGAAUUAUGUUUAUAUAGCGCUUUUUUCUAGUGACUCAAAGCGCUUUAUAUAAGUGAAACCCAAUAUCUAAGUUACAUUUGAACCAGUGUGGGUGACACUGGGAGCAGGUGGGUAAAGUGUCUUACCCAAGGACACAACGGAAGUGACGGGGAUGGCUGAAGCGGGCAUCGAACCUGGAACCCUCAAGUUGCUGGCACGGCCGCUCUACCAACCGAGCUACACCGCCCCGGUAAUGUCACUCGU